UGGGGAAUCUUCCGCAAUGGACGAAAGUCUGACGGAGCAACGCCGCGUGAGUGAUGACGGUCUUCGGAUUGUAAAGCUCUGUUAAUCGGGACGAAUGGUUUGUGUGCAAAUACUGCAUAGACAUGACGGUACCGGAAUAGAAAGCCACGGCUAACUACGUGCCAGCAGCCGCGGUAAUACGUAGGUGGCAAGCGUUGUCCGGAAUUAUUGGGCGUAAAGCGCGCGCAGGCGGACUAGCCAGUCAGUCUUAAAAGUUCGGGGCUUAACCCCGUGAUGGGAUUGAAACUACUAGUCUAGAGUAUCGGAGAGGAAAGUGGAAUUCCUAGUGUAGCGGUGAAAUGCGUAGAUAUUAGGAAGAACACCAGUGGCGAAGGCGACUUUCUGGACGAACACUGACGCUGAGGCGCGAAAGCCAGGGGAGCGAACGGG
rnacentral:rRNA from 1 species